ensembl:piRNA 21ur-4583 ncRNA
UGCGUCUCUUUGUUGGAGAAA